GUGCCAGCAGCCGCGGUAAUACGUAGGGUGCGAGCGUUGUCCGGUAAUUACUGGGCGUAAAGAGCUCGUAGGCGGUUUGUCGCGUCGUCUGUGAAAUUCUGCAGCUUAACUGCAGGCGUGCAGGCGAUACGGGCAGACUUGAGUACUACAGGGGAGACUGGAAUUCCUGGUGUAGCGGUGAAAUGCGCAGAUAUCAGGAGGAACACCGGUGGCGAAGGCGGGUCUCUGGGUAGUAACUGACGCUGAGGAGCGAAAGCGUGGGUAGCGAACAGGAUUAGAUACCCUGGUAGUCC
rnacentral:rRNA from 1 species